rnacentral:lncRNA from 1 species
CUGAAAUUGCAGACACCGGGUUAAGUACAAGAUUGUACUCGCAAGUCUUACCCAAAAUUAUAUAUACAUAAGGGAGAGAGAAGUAUGCAAGCUUUCUAGCCUAUAGUGGGUCUCUAGGUUCAACGUUUGCAUAAAGCUAAUUUUAUUGAGAAAUUAAUGAGUAAAAUAAGUAAGGACAAGUAACUCUAGCAUCAUUUUAAUUUAUGGACAGCAAGUAUAUAAUUCUGAAAUAUAUAAGCAAAUGAGCCCAAACGGCGCUCUCAUCAUCAACCAUGGACUACCAAAGUCCAUACCAACAUGGCACAACAUGCCAACACCACCAUCAAACAUAAUCCCAUCCAUAAUAAUCCACAUUUGAUUCUAACAUAAGUGACUAACACAUCAAGCAUUGUUCAUAACCGAGGACGCGGCUAUUCGAAUAGAUUAUACUCUGAUCAAAGGUGUACAACUGGACCCACACGAAAUGAACAAAUAUCAAAUGCUACACACCCCGUCGAGUGCGGUACAUAAGUGAUUCAAGCUCAUUACAUGCCCUUUCUUAGCCCCACCCCAACCACCUAUACUACGCUGGGGUUCCCGACGACUCAGUCACGUGCGUGCAUGAUGUGACCAAGGCGGGCGCGCCACGCGGGAGGCACCCCCGGCCAAACCUAGGCACCCGAGAACCUCCAAAGGCUACCUGCCUCACGACUCUCCAACGUAGUAUAAAUGAUCACAGUAGAACUAGUAAGAACAAGCCGGUCCCAAAUAAGGCAUGUGGUAAGUACAUAGGGUGCUUGAUUAGAUGUCAAAAUGUUCGGUCCUUAACGACCUAGAUGGGGCUACUUGCAUCAGGGGAAACCAACCUCCCAUCAUCGCCCUAUCACCCGUCCAAGUCCAACAUAUUUCAUCAACCAUUAUUUAGUGUAAGUGCUCAAGUUUUAUGCCCAAUAAUGCAAGUUGUCUAUAUACCACUAUUAAGCACUGUCUAUCCCUAUAGUUCUAUUAGCACUAAGCAUGGCUAAGCAUUAAUGAAUAAGACAUCCCAAGUAAUCCCAACCAGUGGUAAUAGGGUAUAAGACAACGAUAUCACAAGAACUAAAUGCAUUAAUAGGUUCUACCCAUACACCAUAAACCGACAAUAUUAAUAUCUAGGCAAUACAUGCAUAUAUAUAUAUAUAUAUAUAUAUAUAUAUAUAUAUAUAUAUAUACAUAUAGAUUGCAACCAAAUCAUUUUUAGAGAAAGCAUAGGUUCUAU